rnacentral:rRNA from 1 species
CUACGGGUGGCAGCAGUAGGGAAUUUUCGGCAAUGGGCGAAAGCCUGACCGAGCAAUGCCGCGUGAACGAUGAAGGCCUUCGGGUUGUAAAGUUCUGUUAUCAGGGAAGAACAUACGGAUUAGGAAAUGACUCCGUACUGACGGUACCUGAUCAGAAAGCUCCGGCUAACUACGUGCCAGCAGCCGCGGUAAUACGUAGGGAGCAAGCGUUAUCCGGAAUUAUUGGGCGUAAAGCGUGCGUAGGCGGUUCGUUAAGUCAAAUCUGAAAGCCCACAGCUUAACUGUGGAGGGCGAUUUGAAACUGGCGAACUUGAGUACGGCAGAGGUUAGUGGAAUUCAAUGUGUAGCGGUGGAAUGCGUAGAUAUAUUGAGGAACACCAGUGGCGAAGGCGGCUAACUGGACCGGAACUGACGCUGAGGCACGAAAGCGUGGGGAGCAAACAGGAUUAGAUACCCUGGUAGUC